GACGAACGCUGGCGGCGCGCUUCACACAUGCAAGUCGAACGAGAAACCCGGGCUUGCCCGGGUGGACAGUGGCGAACGGGUGAGUAACACGUGAGCAACCUGCCCCGAAGACGGGAAUAAGCCGGGGAAACCUGGUCUAAUGCCCGAUGCCCUCACCGGACCGCAUGAUUCGGUGAGGAAAGCUCCGGUGCUUCGGGAUGGGCUCGCGGCCUAUCAGCUUGUUGGUGGGGUCACGGCCCACCAAGGCGACGACGGGUAGCUGGUCUGAGAGGAUGGCCAGCCACACUGGGACUGGGACACGGCCCAGACUCCUAUGGGAGGCAGCAGUGGGGAAUCUUGCGCAAUGGGCGAAAGCCUGACGCAGCGACGCCGCGUGCGGGAUGAAGGCCUUCGGGUUGUAAACCGCUUUCAGCAGGGACGAAGCGAAAGUGACGGUACCUGCAGAAGAAGGUCCGGCUAACUACGUGCCAGCAGCCGCCGUAACAC
rnacentral:rRNA from 1 species